UUUUUUUUGAGACGGAAUCUCACUCUGUUGCCCAGGCUGGAGUGCAGUGGCAUGAUCUCGGCUCACUGCAAUCUCCACCUCCUGGUACCUGGGAUUAUAGGUGCCUGCCACCAUGCCUGGCUAAUUUUUGUGUUUUUUGUGGAGAUGGUGUUUCGCCCUGUUGGCCGGGGUGGUCUCAAACUCCUGACCUCAGGUGAUCUGCCCACCUGAGCCUCUCAAAAUGCUGGGAUUACAGAUGUAAGCUACCAUGCUUGGCCUGCUUCAUAUAUUUUGAUGAUCAGACAUUAGGUACAUACAUAUUUAUAGUUAUUAUAUAUUCUUGCUAUAUUGAACUUUUUUUGAUAUAUAAUGUCCUUCUUUGUCUCUUGUGAACUUUUUUUUAAAUUUUAUUUUUAUUUUUAUUUUUUAUUUUUUUUGAGGUGGAGUUUCGCUCUUGUUGCCCAGGCUGGAGUGCAAUGGCACGUUCUCGGCUCACUGCAACCUCUGCCUCCUGGGUUCAAGCAAUUCUCCUGCCUCUCAAGUAGCUGGGAUUACAGGCAUGCGCCACCACGCCCAGCUAAUUUUGUAUUUUUAGUAGAGACGAGGUUUCUCCAUGUUGGUCAGGGUGGUCUCGAACCCCCGACCUCAGGUGAUCCGCCCGCCUCAGCCUCCCAAAGUGCUGAGAUUACAGGUGUGAGUCACCGUCCCUGACCUCCCUUGUGAACUUUUUUGAUUUAAAAAUGUAUUUUGUCUGAUACUAGUACAGUCAUUCCUCCUCUUUUGGUUUCUAUUUGCAUGGAAUAUCUUUUUCUAUGUUUUCAUUUUCAAUGUUUGUGUUUUUCAAUCUAAAGUGAAUCUUUUGUAGACAGCAUAUACUUGGAUCAGGGGUUUUUAUUCAUCCUGCCAAUCUCUGUCUUUUGAUUGGAGAGUUUAAUCCAUUUACAUUUAAAGUAAUUAGUGAUAAGGAGAGACUGGGCACAGUGGUUCAUGCCUGUAAUCUCAGUGCUUUGGGAGGCUGAGAUGAGAGGGUUGCUUGAGGCCUGGAGUUGGAGACCAGCCUGGGCCACAUUCUACAGAAAAUUAGCCAGGCAUGGUGGCAUGUGCCUAUAGUGCUAGCUACUUGGAAGGCUGAGAUGGGAGGAUCACUUGAACCCAGGAGUUUGAGGUUACAGUGAGCUAUGAUUGCACCACUGCACUCCAGCUUCGGUGACAGAGCAAGAACCCACCUCUAAAAAACAAAAAAUAAAAUAAAAUUAAUAAUUACUGACAAGAAAGGACCUACGUCUGUCAUUUUGCUAUGUGUUUUAUAUAUGCCAUAUAACUUUUUUUGUCCCUCAUUUCCUGAAUUACUGUCUUCUUUUGUGUGUGUGUGUGUGUGUGUGUUUUUUUGUAGUGAAAUGUUUCAAUUUCUUCCUCAAUUCCUUUGGUAUAUAUUCUAUAGGUUUUCUUUGUGGUUACUAUGGGGUUUACAUUUAACACCCUAAAGUUCUAACUCUCCAAUUUGAAUUUAUACCAGCUUAACUUCAACGACAUAAAAAACUCUGUUCCUUUACAGCUUUGUCUCCACUCCUUUCAGUUGCUGAUGUCACAAAAUUACAUCUUUAUACAUUGUGUACUCCAAAACAUAAAUAAUUCUUAUAAAUGCACUGGUCUCUUAAAUUAUCUAGGAAAAAAGUGGAGUUACAAACCAAAAUUAUAGUAAUAGUAGCUUUUAAAUAAUUUAAAAAUAAUAAUUUAAAAAUAUGGGCUGGGCAUGGUGGCUCAGGCCUGUAAUCCCAGCACUUUGGGAGGCCAAGAUCGGUGGAUUACCUGAGGUCAGGAGUUCAAGACCAACCUG
rnacentral:lncRNA from 10 species